AGCCACGAUGGGAGCUCCUUGCCUUGCUAUUCUGAUGAACCUUGGUGAACCCCCGAAAGGAAAGAGAAAUGGAGGGAGAGAGGGGGAGGGAUUGUCGUUGAGCCACAUGUGUCCGCUACCCACAUGCUUGUGUGUGUGGUUCUAGAAUGCUGAUCUCAGUCAAGGUUGUCUUUGCACUUAUUGAGGUCCUCACCAUGCUGUGUCUUUCACCAUUUGGGGGUUUCUUUCAAUGUCUAAUACUUUCUUCUCAUUCAGUGUUUCCUCCUGGGUUUCUUGCCUGGUGACCUACACUCCCUGCGAGGCAGCAGCGGCCCUUUUGCCUUGCUUUUGUGCCUUGAGCAGAGAGUUGCUCUAAGCAGCUGGUUCCCCGUCCUCUUUUCUGGCCCCACUGAGCAGAGUGAUGGGACCAAGAAUGGGAGGGAGUGAGCCUAAACCCAGAUUGGGACCUGAGCCCAUGGUGUUUUUGUUUAUUUAUUUAUUUUUAUUUUUCAUUUUUUAAUAUUACUCAAUGAAUUUAUUACAUUUAUAGCUGUACAAUGAUUAUCAUGACCCAAGUUUAUAGCAUUUCCAUCCCAAACCUCCACCAUGGUGUUUUUCAUUAGAAUUACUCACCUGGUGUCUGGACUUACUGAGGUUCAGGUUCUUUGUGUCUUACCGCAGAAGGAAUUCAGUGAGAGACAAAGUGAUAGGGAAGAAAUAGAUUUGUUAAGAUAGGAUGCUUGGGGAGUUCGCGCUGUGGCUCAGUGGUAACAAACCUGACUAGUAUCCAUGAGGAUGCCAGUUUGAUCCCUGGACUCACUCAGUGGUGUAGGUUGCAGAUGAAGAUCAGAUCUCGAGUUGCUGUGGCUGUGGUGUAGGCCAGCAGCUGCGGCUCCAAUUUGAUCCCUAGCCUGGGAACGUCCCUAUGCCACGGGUACAGUCUUUAAAAAAAAAAAAAAAGAUAAUGAUUGACCUAUGGUGUUUAAAGAAUUGGGUUCUUGGAGUUUCCUGGUGGUUUGGGCAGGUUAGGGAUCUGUCAUUGUCACUGCUGUGGCUCAGGACGAUCCCCGGCUUGGGAACUGGCAUAUGCUGUGAGUGUGGCCAAAAAAAAAAAAGCAAUUGGGUUCUCUCAGAAUAUUAAUAUGCUUGUUAGUUUUCUAGGGCUGUCAAACCGCAUGACAUAGGGAAACAGAAAUGUGUUCUCCCAUAGUUCUGAGACAUCUGAAAUCAAGUGUUGGCAGGCCCAUCCGUCUUCCCCCUGAAGGUUCCAGGGGAGAAUCCUUCCUUUGCCUCUUCCAGUUCCGGAGCUCCUGGUAGACCUUGGUGUUCCCUGGCUUGUACCUGCCUCCCUCUGCCUUUGCCUCCAUCGCUGUCUGGCCGGUGUGUCUGUGUGACCUCUCCUCUCCUGAUGGGGACAUCAGCCACUGGGGCCACCCUACCCCAUCAUGACUUCAUCCUAAUAUAAUUACACCUGCAAAGACCUUAUUUCCAAAUAUAGUCUUGUUCUGAGAUUAUGGGUGGACAGUUUGAGGAGACAUUAUUCAACUCAUUGCAUUUUUUAUCAAAAGUUCGGAAAAUUGAGUAGUAAAAGUAUAGCACAGCUCCCCCCCAACCUCCUGCCCCUAGUUGGGUUCUUCCUCUAAGCAAUUUAGCUGUACUUGGUGGAAAGAAAGGUGAGACCUUGCAAAUUUCAUUUCACAUUGCACACGGAACCUAUUGAUACAGAGGGCUGACUGUACCUAUGUUUUUCUAAAGUCUUUCAUAUGGUUCCAGGUGGUGCCAUGGACUGAAUGUUCAUGUCCCCUAAAAUUCCUAUGUUGGAAACAAAUCCCCUUUGUGAUGGUAUUUAGAGGUGUGGCCUUUGGGAAGUAAGUCAUAAGGGUGGGAACCCUCACCAGUGGGAUUAGUGCCCUUACAGUCACGGUCACAAGACCCUGUGGCUCUCUCCCCAUCAGAGAACCUUCUGAGGGUGGGGAAAGAGGGCCCUCCCUUUCACUGGGGAGAUGGAUAAACCAAAGGGUGACCUUGUUUUCAAGCUCUGGAGCAUAGUUAGUGGUGAGUUUGUCUUCCACAGGCUGAAUCAAGGUCAAGGGAAGUGGAAAGGGCUGUGGAGAGGCUCCGGUUGGGGGGGGUGUUGGUCAGGGGCAGCCCCCAGGCAGGGGCCUGAGCAGUGACUACCAGCAGAUCUCUGGAUGGGCUGACAGGGCUGGGGGACAGCAGACAGCCAAGCUUCCUUGACUCCUUUUUAGACCACUGUAAACUCCCAAAGGCUACUUCCCUCCUUCUUUGCUGAGUUUCAGGAACUCAUUUGGGUUGGUUGGGGGGCAGUUGCCAUGGUGAUGCUAUCUCUAGACCCCAGCAUGAAACCACAUCCCUAAAGAAUUUCAUCCCAUGAGAGCAAAACACAGAUUCACUGGAAAGGGUGGUCCAAAAGGUAGUGGCGUUUAGCAAUGGAGCAGCUACUUUGUUUUAAUGAGCUUGAGUUCACCUCAUCUGUGAGAUGCGAAAGGUAAUGCCUGCCUGGCAGGAUCACUUGAGAUGUCAGAUGACACAAUAAAGAGAUGAAUUCAGGAGUUCCUGUUGUGGCACAGCGGAAACGAAUCCUCCUAGUAUCCAUGAGGAUGUGGGUUCAAUCCCUGACCUUGCUCAGUGAGUCGGGGAUCUGGUGUAGCCAUGAGCUGUGGUGUAGGUUGCAGACACAGCUCAGAUCCUCUGUUUCUGUGGCUAUGGUGUAGACCAGCAGGUGCAGUUCUGAUUCGAUCCUUAGACUGGGAACUUCCAUAUGCUGUGGAUGCGGUC
rnacentral:lncRNA from 1 species